rnacentral:snoRNA from 12 species
AAGACUAUACUUCGCAGGAUCAUUUCUGUAGUCAGUCUUCUGUUAGUUACUUUAAAUGCAAAGUAAAACCACCUUUUCGU